ACGCCGUAAACGAUGAGUGCUAAGUGUUAGGGGGUUUCCGCCCCUUAGUGCUGCAGCUAACGCAUUAAGCACUCCGCCUGGGGAGUACGGUCGCAAGACUGAAACUCAAAGGAAUUGACGGGGGCCCGCACAAGCGGUGGAGCAUGUGGUUCAAUUCGAAGCAACGCGAAGAACCUUACCAGCCCUUGACAUGCCACGACGGUUUCCAGAGAUGGAUUCCUCCCCGCAAGGGGCGUGGACACAGGUGCUGCAUGGCUGUCGUCAGCUCGUGUCGUGAGAUGUUGGGUUAAGUCCCGCAACGAGCGCAACCCUUAUCUUUAGUUGCCAUGUCGCAAGACGGAACUCUAAAGAAACUGUCGGCCACAAGCCGAAGGAAGGUGGGGAUGACGUGUAACCGAAU
rnacentral:misc_RNA from 1 species